rnacentral:rRNA from 1 species
CUGGGGUGAAGUCGUAACAAGGUAACCGUAUCGGAAGGUGCGGCUGGAUCACCUCCUUUCUAAGGAGAAUU